rnacentral:rRNA from 1 species
AGAGCUACGGCUCACCCGGCCAUGGGUUAGCCUAUGGCCACGUCUGUCCGAGGGUCG